UGAUUAUAAACUAAUGUAUAAUUUACCAGAGUACUAUGAACACGCAGUUUAAAACUCAAAGGGCUUGGCGGUGCUUUAGACUAUUCAGGGGAACCUGUCUCGUAAUCGAUAGUCCACGAUACACCUAACCUUUUUUAGUUAUCAGUAUGUAUACCGUCGUCGUCAGGUAACUUUUAAAAAUAAAGAAGUUAGCGAUAAAAAUUAUGAUGAUUUUGUACGUCAGAUCAAGGUGCAGCUUAUAAAAAGGUGAGGAUGGGUUACAAUUAAGAUUUAUAAUAACGGAAAAAAGCUUGAUACAGCUUUUAAUG
rnacentral:rRNA from 1 species